rnacentral:rRNA from 1 species
CGUGCCUCAGACAUGCAAGUCGAACGAUUAAGACUUCCUUCGGGAAGUGCAUAAAGUGGCGCACGGGUGAGUAACACGUAAGUAAUCUACCCUCGAGUGGGGAAUAACGUUCGGAAACGAACGCUAAUACCGCAUAAUGUCUACGGACCAAAGUGUGGGACCUUCGGGCCACAUGCUAUCGGAUGCGCCUACGUGGGAUUAGCUAGUUGGUGAGGUAAUGGCUCACCAAGGCGACGAUCCCUAGCUGGUUUGAGAGGAUGAUCAGCCACACUGGAACUGAGCCGCGGUCCAGACUCCUACGGGAGGCAGCAGUGGGGAAUAUUGGACAAUGGGCGCAAGCCUGAUCCAGCCAUGCCGCGUGCGUGAAGAAGGCCUUCGGGUUGUAAAGCACUUCCAGUAGGGAGGAAGCGUUGAGUGUUAAUAGUACUCAGCGUUGACGUUACCUACAGAAGAAGCACCGGCUAACUCUGUGCCAGCCGCCGCCGUAACAC